CUGAGUUUGAUCCCUGGCUCAGGAUGAACGCUAGCGGCAGGCUUAACACAUGCAAGUCGAGGGGUAUUAGUUUUCGGACUAAGAGACCGGCGCACGGGUGCGUAACGCGUAUGCAAUCUACCUUUUACAGAGGGAUAGCCCAGAGAAAUUUGGAUUAAUACCUCAUAGUAUAGCAGUUUNGCAUGAANCCACUAUUAAAGUCACAACGGUAAAAGAUGAGCAUGCGUCCCAUUAGCUAGUUGGUAAGGUAACGGCUUACCAAGGCUACGAUGGGUAGGGGUCCUGAGAGGGAGAUCCCCCACACUGGUACUGAGACACGGACCAGACUCCUACGGGAGGCAGCAGUGAGGAAUAUUGGACAAUGGGCGCAAGCCUGAUCCAGCCAUGCCGCGUGCAGGAUGACGGUCCUAUGGAUUGUAAACUGCUUUUAUANGAGAAGAAACACUCCUUCGUGAAGGAGAAAGACGGUAUCGUAAGAAUAAGGAUCG
rnacentral:rRNA from 1 species